GAUGAACGCUGGCGGCGUGCCUAAUACAUGCAAGUCGAGCGAACGGACGAGAAGCUUGCUUCUCUGAUGUUAGCGGCGGACGGGUGAGUAACACGUGGAUAACCUACCUAUAAGACUGGGAUAACUUCGGGAAACCGGAGCUAAUACCGGAUAAUAUUAUGAACCGCAUGGUUCAAAAGUGAAAGACGGUCUUGCUGUCACUUAUAGAUGGAUCCGCGCUGCAUUAGCUAGUUGGUAAGGUAACGGCUUACCAAGGCAACGAUGCAUAGCCGACCUGAGAGGGUGAUCGGCCACACUGGAACUGAGACACGGUCCAGACGCCUACGGGGGGCAGCAGUAGGGAAUCUUCCGCGAUGGGCGAAAGCCUGACGGAGAAACGCCGCGUGAGUGAUGAAGGUCUUCGGAUCGUAAAACUCUGUUAUUAGGGAAGAACAUAUGUGUAAGUAACUGUGCACAUCUUGACGGUACCUAAUCAGAAAGCCACGGCUAACUACGUG
rnacentral:rRNA from 1 species